rnacentral:rRNA from 1 species
UUUUACCGGUCAACUAACACUGAGAAAGGCGGAUCUCGUCUGAUCUCGGAAACUAAAGCAGAGGUUUGCCUUGGUUAGUUCUUGGAUGGUAAGACCACCUGGGGAAUACGCAGGUGCUGUACAGC